rnacentral:rRNA from 1 species
AUUGAACGCUGGCGGCAUGCCUUACACAUGCAAGUCGAACGGUAACAGGUCUUCGGAUGCUGACGAGUGGCGAACGGGUGAGUAAUACAUCGGAACGUGCCCGAUCGUGGGGGAUAACGAAGCGAAAGCUUUGCUAAUACCGCAUAAGAUCUACGGAUGAAAGCAGGGGACCGCAAGGCCUUGCGCGAACGGAGCGGCCGAUGGCAGAUUAGGUAGUUGGGGGGAUAAAAGCUUACCAAGCCGACGAUCUGUAGCUGGUCUGAGAGGACGACCAGCCAAACUGGGACUGAGACACGGCCCAGACUCCUACGGGAGGCAGCAGUGGGGAAUUUUGGACAAUGGGCGAAAGCCUGAUCCAGCCAUGCCGCGUGCAGGAUGAAGGCCUUCGGGUUGUAAACUGCUUUUGUACGGAACGAAAAGACUCUUUCUAAUAAAGAGGGUCCAUGACGGUACCGUAAGAAUAAGCACCGGCUAACUACGUGCCAGCCGCCGCAGUAAGAC